GGUUAAGUUAUUAAGGGCGCAUGGUGAAUGCCUUGGCACUAGGAGCCGAUGAAGGACGGGACUAACACCGAUAUGCCACGGGGAGCUGUAAGUGAGCUUUGAUCCGUGGAUUUCCGAAUGGGGGAACCCAACCUACGGUUGUAGGUUAUCAACUGAUGAAUACAUAGUCAGCUUGAUGGUAAACGCUGUGAACUGAAACAUCUCAUUAGCAGUAGGAGCAGAAAGAAAAAUCGAUUCCGGUAGUAGCGGCGAGCGAACGCGGAAAAGCCCAAACCAGUGUGCUUGCACACUGGGGUUGUAGGACUGUCGUUGUGGAGUUACAAAGUGAUUAAUUAGCAGAAGCAGUUGGGAAGCUGCGCGAAACAGGGUGAUAGCCCCGUAUGCGAAAGUUAGUCACCUCCCGUACAGGAUCCUGAGUACGACCGGACACGUGAAAUCCGGUCGGAAUUUGCGAGGACCAUCUCGUAAGGCUAAAUACUCCCUAGUGACCGAUAGUGAACCAGUACCGUGAGGGAAAGG
rnacentral:rRNA from 1 species